AUACUGAAACUAGGCAGUAAAAGACCUUUAUAUGGAAAACUACGAAACACUGCUGCAAGAAAUUACAAAUGACACAGACAAAUGGAAACACAUCCCAUGCUCAUGGAUGGGGAGAAUCAAUAUUGUGAAAAUGACCAUAGUGUCAAAAGCAAUCUACAAAUUCAAUGCAGUUCUCAUCAAAAUAUCACAAUCAUUCUACAGACAGAACUAGAAAAAACAAUGCUAACAUUCAUAUGGAACCAAAA